CCUGGGAACACAUAAUUUAAAACAAUCUCCCGACUGGACUUCGAAUUUAGUCCUGGUUUACUUUUUUUUAUCUUGAAUGUUGGACUAGCACGAGAAAUUAAGAGUACCCAGACGAAACACGGAAAAUAAAUAAGAGGAAACAAAAAUAAUGCAUGUCGAAACCAAUUACGAGAAAUAAAACGCUAAAACACAUGAAAUAAAAAGGCCAUAAAUGCAAAUAACUUUUUACCACCCUCAUAUACCCUUUAUGUUUAAUUACCUUGUCCAAACUCUACCUCAAUUUUGACAGUAAAAUUAAAGGUUCAACUUGGUGAGUCAUAUAUAGCUUCUGACCUUUCCAUCCCAAAGUUGUAAACAAGCCCCCCUUUUUAUGCGAUUAAAAUUUCUUUUCACUUUUGAUUCAAUCAUAUGAUUUCAAAUAGUCAAUGAUAAAAAUUCAUGAGACGUUGCAAGAUAUCUUGGGAAUGGUAAUAUGCUAUCCUGAUC
rnacentral:lncRNA from 1 species